AAGAUCCUUGGUGGUUGGUGCUAGUCCUAACCCCAACUCCGCCGUUUCAUAACUGAUACAAUGAACAACAACAAAAAACACUUCAAAUUGGUUGUGCCACUUGUGCCCCUCUUUCCAGGCUACCUUAGACCAUAUGUUGAACUAUCCUCCAGUGUUCACUGGCAUCAACGCCUGCUCGCUUUGCCCAGGGCAUGCAUAUUGCCAUGUCUCCCUACAUAGACACAGAUCAAGCGUGUCUCGUGUAAGCCCAGGGUCCCACCAAGUAUCUUCGAGGUUAAUGUUGAUGUUGUCGAGGAUCUGGACAUGGCUCAUAUUCUGGUUCUGAAGACCUCAUGCCAUGCCCAAAGCUGUCUGCCGUCAAGUCAAGGUUAUUAGUAGUAGUAUUCACAUUAGUCCAGAAUCUGAACACGACAGACACUUCGGUUACGAAGAUACCACCACCACCUUAAAAACCGAAGAUAUUAUUCCAUGUGCCCAACCUCCAUGUUUCCUGCGCCGCAAGUAGGGCCGCGCCAUGUGCCCAAAGUGUUGAGUUGUUGAUCCAAAUUAUGCAUAUCAGGGUUCUCGGUUCUCACUGCAUCAUCAUUAUUAUUCUUGUAAGGCCGCUAAAACCGGCGUUAUGUAAACACUCCAUAUUAUACUCUACAUUAUAGUAAAGAUUUCAU
rnacentral:lncRNA from 7 species